GUGCUAGCUAUUGGAUGCUAGUCUAAGCGUUUAGGGAGUUAGAGGAGGCAAAUCCACUCUAACAUAUCCUGAGGCGUGAUGGGGAAGGUUCUACGGAACCGAAGUGCUUGAUUCUAUGCUUCCAAGAAAAGCAUCUAGAGAGAGAAGUAGUGCCCGUACCGCAAACCGACACAGGUAGGUGAGGAGAGAAUCCUAAGGCCGGCGGAAGAAUUGCAGUUAAGGAACUAGGCAAAUUGACCCCGUAACUUCGGGAGAAGGGGUGCCUACGAGAGUAGGCCGCAGAGAAUAGGCACAAGCAACUGUUUAGCAAAAACACAGGUCUCUGCUAAAGCGAAAGCUGAUGUAUAGGGGCUGACGCCUGCCCGGUGCUGGAAGGUUAAGGGGAAUACUUAGCGCAAGCGAAGGUAUGAACUUAAGCCCCAGUAAACGGCGGCCGUAACUAUAACGGUCCUAAGGUAGCGAAAUUCCUUGUCAGGUAAGUUCUGACCCGCACGAAUGGCGUAAUGACUUGUGCACUGUCUCAACUGCAAAUCCGGCGAAGUUGUAGUGCGAGUGAAGAUGCUCGCUACCCGCGAUUGGACGGAAAGACCCCGUAGAGCUUUACUGUAGCUUAGCAUUGAAUUUCGGUAUUAUCUGUACAGGAUAGGUGGGAGACUAGGAAACUAGGACGUCAGUCUUAGUGGAGUCGCCCUUGGGAUACCACCCUGAUAUUACUGGAGUUCUAACAGGACGCCAUGAAACUGGUGACUGGACAUUGUUAGGUGGGCAGUUUGACUGGGGCGGUCGCCUCCUAAAAAGUAACGGAGGCGCCCAAAGGUUCCCUCAGAACGGUCGGAAAUCGUUCGAAGAGUGCAAAGGCAGAAGGGAGCCUGACUGCGACACCCACAAGUGGAGCAGGGACGAAAGUCGGGCUUAGUGAUCCGGUGGUACCUCGUGGGAGGGCCAUCGCUCAACGGAUAAAAGCUACCUCGGGGAUAACAGGCUGAUCUCCCCCAAGAGUUCACAUCGACGGGGAGGUUUGGCACCUCGAUGUCGGCUCGUCGCAUCCUGGGGCUGAAGUAGGUCCCAAGGGUUGGGCUGUUCGCCCAUUAAAGCGGCACGCGAGCUGGGUUCAGAACGUCGUGAGACAGUUCGGUCCCUAUCCGUCGCGGGCGUAGGAAAUUUGAGAGGAGCUGUCCUUAGUACGAGAGGACCGGGAUGGACUGACCUAUGGUGUACCAGUUGUUUCGCCAGAAGCAUAGCUGGGUAGCUAAGUCGGGAAGGGAUAAACGCUGAAAGCAUCUAAGCGUGAAGC
rnacentral:rRNA from 1 species